rnacentral:tRNA from 1 species
GCUGGCAUAGCUCAGUUGGUAGAGCAACUGAUUUGUAAUCAGUAGGUCCCGAGUUCGAAUCUUGGUGCCAGCACCA